CUCUACUGGCACCAAGGGCUUGUGCAGAGGAACUGACCGAAAGUAUAAUUUCCUUCAGCCACAUAUUAGUAACCUAUUCAGAAUCUGCUUAAUGUGAAAAAAAAAAAAAAGCUUUCCUUUUAGGAAAAUAAAGACACUUUAUGAAGGACCCUGAAUGUGCUCCAAUGAUCCUAGACAAAGAACUCCAUUUCUAGAAGACUCAAAAAUCU
rnacentral:lncRNA from 1 species